ACGGCGAGUGAAGCGGCAACAGCUCAAAUUUGAAAUCUGGCCCUCGGCCCGAGUUGUAAUUUGUAGAGGAUGUUUCGGGUGCGACGUAGGUCUAAGUCUCUUGGAACGGGGCGUCAUAGAGGGUGAGAAUCCCGUAUGUGACCUACGAUCAACCCCAUGUGAAACGCCAUCGACGAGUCGAGUUGUUUGGGAAUGCAGCUCAAAAUGGGUGGUAAAUUUCAUCUAAAGCUAAAUACCGGCCAGAGACCGAUAGCGCACAAGUAGAGUGAUCGAAAGAUGAAAAGCACUUUGGAAAGAGAGUUAAAAAGUACGUGAAAUUGUUGAAAGGGAAGCGCUUGCAACCAGACCUGUCCGUGGUGAUCAACGGCUGUUCUCAGCCGUGCACUCGCCUCGAUCAGGCCAGCAUCGGUUUGGACGGUGGGAUAAAGGCAGUGGGAAUGUAGCUCCUCGGAGUGUUAUAGCCCUCUGUGCAAUGCCGCCAGUUCAGACCGAGGACCGCGCUUCGGCUAGGAUGCUGGCAUAAUGGUUGUAAGCGACCCGUCUUGAAACACGGACCAAGGAGUCUAACAUCUAUGCGAGUGUUUGGGUGUUAAACCCAUACGCGUAAUGAAAGUGAACGGAGGUGAGAACCCUUAAGGGCGCAUCAUCGACCGAUCCAGAUGUCUUCGGAUGGAUUUGAGUACGAGCAUAGCUGUUGGGACCCGAAAGAUGGUGAACUAUGCCUGAAUAGGGUGAAGCCAGAGGAAACUCUGGUGGAGGCUCGCAGCGGUUCUGACGUGCAAAUCGAUCGUCAAAUUUGGGUAUAGGGGUAAGUCUUGAUCCGUUCCAGCUCCUCGAAAGGGCGCAAAUAUUAAUAAUUGUAUGCUAACUCCUACCUUAGGCGAAAGACUAAUCGAACCAUCUAGUAAUUCAGCUACUAGACAAACAGUAAAGUAGUCCUACGGGGCGACAUUGCCAGUCUUACAGGUACGAUUUUAUCAUUGUUAUCGCGGUCGUAGGGUCGACAAGGCGUGUAUAUUGCGCCAUUUCAAUCCGAGGACCGACUGGUUACAAAGACUAAAUCUCCCUGGAGUGUGCCCAAAAGAGGCACAUUCACAGACUAAAUGGCGGUGGUCGUUACGCAUC
rnacentral:rRNA from 1 species